AACGCACAUUGCGCCCCCUGGUAUUCCGGGGGGCAUGCCUGUUCGAGCGUCAUUGCAACCCUCAAGCUCUGCUUGGUAUUGGGCGUUCGCUUCCAAGGAGGCGCGCCCGCAAAUCAGUGGCGGUCCAGGGAGACUUCAAGCGCAGUAGAAACAUUCCGCUAUCGAGGUGUCGCCUGCGGCCUGGCCAGAAAACCCCCAAAUUCCAAUGAUUGACCUCGGAUCAGGUAGGGAUACCCGCUGAACUUAA
rnacentral:misc_RNA from 3 species